GUUUGAAAUGCCUGCAGUAUGGCGUGUGCACAGCAAUCUGCUACAAAGUACCUCAGCAACACCAGGAGAGACCUAGUGACUUGUAUGAAAAACCUUCCUCUGAUCAUUGAGAAUCUUUAUCAGAAGAAGGUUUUCAAUGACUAUGAGGUUGAUGCUCUCAAAGCCGAGAAGACAGAGUUUGAUAAAGCCAGAUGUAUAUUGGACUGGGUUAUUAACAAAGGUGAUGAGGCCAGUUAUGAAUUACUCAAGAUUCUGGAUCACAUUAGGAAGAGGACGUUAGAUCCUGGUUUACACCCCUGGAUCAGCUGUUUUCCCUUCAGAGAUGAAGACCCAGAGCCCAGCUGUUUAUUUGGUACAAAGCCCUGUAAAAACUACCAGACACAGCUCAAAAAGAAAGCAGAAAGUUUAUUGAAGGACCAAAGAGAAAGUUUCUGUAAAUAUCUGGAUGACAAGGUACAAGGAAACUUCAGUUUUAUUCCUCUUGUUUUAGAGACCGGCUCUGCGGUGAAAACUCCUCAAUGCAAAAUAUAUUUGAAAAACAAAAAAUGCAAAAAGCUACGGCCCAAAAAACUGAGAGCUUACAUUCCUACCGAUGGACAAGCGUUAUCACCUGAGGACCUCCUGAGAUGGAAGGACAAGAGCAUCCUCAUCAUCGGCAAACCUGGAGUAGGAAAGACUACAGUUGUCCAGGAAAUGCUGCAUCUUUGGGCAGAGAAGGAUGGCAGAGAGAUAGACUACAUGUUUUACUUUGAUGAAAGCGUUUUGGCUCACAAUAGUGUUGCCAGCUUGGAAUCUCUUUUGUUUGAUGUGUAUAUAAAACCAAUGGAAAAAGACAAAAAAGAAGUGUUUCAAGAUAUUGAGGAAAACUCUGAGAAUGUCGUUAUUGUAUUUGACUGUGUGAUGGAUUUGGGAAAAAAAUCCAUCUUGUGGAAGAUCAUGAAGCACGAGCUCCUGCCGGAUGCCAAGAUUGUGAUCACAUGCAGAUCAGAUGUGGAAGAGGAUCCACUUUUCUCUAACUGGCCGACACGGACAGUGUAUGUACAAGGAUUCAGUGCAGAGUCUAUCAACACUUACUAUCAGAAGAUGUUGGGUCAUGAUCCUGUUCUUCUAGAAGUUGUUUUGAAGAAUCAAGAGCUCUUCAGUCUUAGUCAUGUUCCGUUGUAUGCAUUCAUGAUUGCAGACUUGAUUAAGUUUAAAAAUGACACUGUAUGCAACCAUCCACACACAGUCACUGAAAUCUACAUCCACAUUUUCCGUCUUGCUGUGAAGAAACAUGGGAAUAAACAAAAUAAGCAAAUAGACAAGUACCUGAAAGAGAAGAAGGAUCAGAUCCAUCCCUUGAUAAAAAAUGCUUUCAAUGGCACUAUGCAGAAGUGCCUGAACCUUCCAGAUUUUAGCAGUGAUGAGACGGACAUUUGUCAUGCUUUUCUGAAAAUGAUCACAACAACAGACUCACCAACAUCUGCAACAACAUACUGUGCGUUUCUCCACAACACAAUGCAGGAAUUCUUCUCCGCUUUGUGGCUUCUUGGACAUCCAGAUGAAGUUGAGAAAGUCUUACUGCUCUGUCAGACUGAGGAUCAUAAACACAUGAGAUAUGUUCUUCCUUUCUUAUGUGGACUUCUGAGUGAACACAACACCAGACUCCUCAAGUGUCUCUUCCCAGAGGAUCAGAUAAAGAAAACAUCUGGUUGGUUGAUUGAGAAGCUUUUGGACACGUUUCUUCAAGCUCAGAGUGAGAGUGAAGAGUUUGAUCUUCUCUAUGUGUGUCAGUGCUUGUAUGAGCUCCAGUCUCCUAAAGCCUGUUUAAUUUUCUUGGAGAAGAUGAACCAUCAGCUUGAACCAGAAGUGGAUCUUGAUCCUCAUCAGUGUUGUGCUCUGUCUUACGUGAUCAGUCAGUCCAGAGAUAAAGAGGUUUAUCUGAAUCUGGACGACUGUACCGUAGCUGAUGUAGGAAUGAUCAUGAUGCUCAGCUGCUCACCAAACAUCAGGUUAAAAUCUUGUAAAGAACCGCUGAAACAAAUCACCUUCUUUGUAGAAUUCUUCCACAAAUCAUUAAAUAAUUGCGACUGCAAACUUUUUGAGGUGAGAGGACGAUAUAACCCAGAAACAUUCAAUCCUCUGCUGGAUCUGUACUCACAUGUGAGGAACUAUGAGACUCAAACAGGCAGGAGUUUUCUUCCAGCAUUACAGGCAGUUUUCCAGUCACCUGAUGCCUGGAUCAUAGAUCUCUCAGAGAGAAAGAGCUCGGUCCUCCUGGAAGUGCUGAAGCUCCAGACAGAGAAGAAACCAGUAAAUCUGAUUGGAUGUUCAGAGGAAGAGAGAGACGUGAAGAGUUUCCUUCAGUGUCUGCAACACAUCUCAGAGCUGAGAAUCUCUGAUCUGAGUGAAAGCGUUCUUCGUGGAUUUCUUCUGAGUCUCUUCAUUAAAGCAGCAGAGAUUGAGACACAGACAGGAGAACAGAUGCUGGAACUGUUAGCAUCAGUCUGCAUCAGCUCUUCUAAUUAUAAAUGGACUGACAUAUUUUAUGAUUGGGAUUUCCUGCUGGAUCUGUGCUCACAUGUGAAGAACUAUGAGACUCAAACAGGCAGGAGUGUUCUUCCAGCAUUACAGUCAGUUUUCCAGUCACCUGAUGUCUGGAGCAUAGAUCUCUCAGAGAGAAAGAGCUCGGUCCUCCUGGAAGUGCUGAAGCUCCAGACAGAGAAGAGAACAGUCGAGCUCAGAAGAUGUUCAGAGAAAGAGAGAGACGUGAAGAGUUUCCUUCAGUGUCUGCAACACAUCUCACAGCUGAGGUUCUGGAACAUUUAUAAUGAAGAAGAAAGGAUGUCUGCAGUCAGAUUCCUGCUGAAGCUCUGUGUUGCUGCUGGAGAAACUGAUGAAGAAACACGAUUCUUGACUCUGCUGUCAUCUGUGUGCAGCUACAAAACCUUCCCUUUUGAUGCAGAGUUUGGUGAUUAUGAUGCUGGUGUUCAGCGUGAUUUCCUGCUGGAUCUGUACUCUCAUGUGAAGAACUGUGAGACUCAAACAGGCAGGAGUUUUCUUCCAGCAUUACAGUCAGUUUUCCAGUCACCUGAUGUCUGGAUCAUAGAUCUCUCAGAGAGAAAGAGCUCGGUCCUCCUGGAAGUGCUGAAGCUCCAGACAGAGAAGAAACCAGUAGAGCUGAGAGGAUUGUCAGAGGAAGAGAGUGACGUGAAGAGUUUCCUUCAGUGUCUGCAACACAUCUCAGAGCUGAGACUCGACCUCACUCUCAAACCUAAAGCUGUCUCUGUCAGAAGAACAAGGCUUCUCUUCAGACACCUCACAAACAUACACACACUCAGGCUGAGUGGUUAUAUGCUGGUGAGAGUUGUGCAGGCGUUGAGGUUUAUGAAGGUUCGAGCUCCCAUCACCGUUAAUGAGCUCACACUUGAUCUGAAUGAGGAACAGCAGUCAGAAAGGAGUCUGUCCAGGAUCAUGAGCAAAUUAGCCAUCCUUCUGAGACUCUGGACGGUCAAGUGUUUGAACUUGACUGAAUACAAGAUUCAGUCUGUUUCUGUGUCUGUCCUGCUGUGUCACCAGGGACCAGUGACUCUCAGACUGUCCAAAGAGACUCUCCAGAAGCUUGUUAAUUGUGUUUAUGAAGCUCAGGAAGAGGAACUGACUCAGUGCUUCCUGCAGAAAGUGGGCAGGGAUCUGACUUCCUGUUCCUUGAGCUGGGAAGAGCUUCAUUAUUUCCUGCAGCACAGAAUUCAACAAAUCACUCUGAACCUCAGAAAAAGUAACAUUCAGGUCAACAUCAGAGAAAUUCUGCCAUUCCUGAACCGGAUUAAGUUUAAACGGAUGAGCUCUGCCUUCAUGCUGUGUGUUAUCAGAGAGAUCUAUGAGUCCGGCUCUGCUGGGUUUGUGUCCAGUCUGUUGAGUUCAGUGGAGAACUACAUUAACCUGCAGAGCAGAGAUCUGGACUCUGUUCACUGUGCGGCCCUGCGCUUCACACUGCAGCACUGCACUGCAGCUUCACUCAACCUGCUCUGGACCUCCAUACCUGAGGAAGAGCUGCAGAGCAUUCUGCCUCUCUUCACACACCUCUCCCACCUCAGUGUUGACAGGCUGCUGUUACUGAAGAUUCUUCACUGCUGCAGUGUCUCUGAUGUCCAGCAGGAAGCAGCAGCUGUUCUGCUCUCUGUCCUUCAGCACAAGCUGGACUUCUCCUGCUGCUCUGCUCUGGAUCUGACAGCAAACACAGACUCAGAGCCUCUACAUCUGACCGCUGACGACUGCCAUGAGAUGUCCAGAGUCAUUCAGAGAGCUGAUUCAGACACAAAGACACGGCUGAUUCUGCAGGACUGUGAGAUUCAUACAGCUGGCAUUUAUCAGCUGUUCCCAGUGUUACAUUCUGUUCAUCUCUGGUAAGAAACACCAACAGAUCACAUUCACACAGAUCCAAUAUAAAAGCACUCAGUAUAUGAUAGGGCUGGGUUUUGACACAAAUUUCAUGAUUCGAUUCAAUUCUCAUUAACAAGCUUUCGAUUCGAUUCAAUAUCGAUUAUUUUGGAUAUAUAUAUAUAAGGUACACAUGCCACAUUUUCUCAAGGAAAAAAAAAUCUCUCAACUAAUGCUGUAAAAUAUAUAUGAGAGUCAGUUGGUACUUCAUUACUAUAAUAUUGAGGGUUAAAAUUGACUGAUUUGUUAAAUUACACUUAAUGAAGUUUUUAAAAUAAUAAAGUUACAAUUACAUAAUAUGUUUGCUUAAAU
ensembl:lncRNA